ACUAAUCCCUGAACAAUCCCUGGCUCAAUAAUUCAAACCUGACUGACUCUUGCUUCACGUGACCCAAGUUCAACAGCUCAGCUGGACACAGAGAUAAGAAAUUCCCAAGACAAAUGAGAACCAAUGCGCCAAUGGAGAAUGCCAAUGUCCACUCUUACGCCAAUGAAAGUCCCAACUUGCCAUAACAGUCAUCAAAGCUGAUGCUGUCAGACUGACUGAAGUAUACUGAUGAGGCGCACAAAAAGGACUCAGUCACAGCAGCCAUCCUCCUCAUCCCUGACCUCUUCAAUGAAGAUCCCAGAGGUCUCUACAUUAUGGACCAGAAUUCACCCUCCCUACAUGGCUGAUUAAUAUAACUGGAAACCUGUUCGAUCACCAUGCACUAGAAAAUCAUUCUGGCUAUGGAUACGAAGGAUAUCAACACAUUAACACGCCAGAAAAUAUACAGAUUGAACUGCUGGGAGUUUACCGCAUCUCGAUUUUUGACUUCUGCUUUGCCACUAAAAUCAUAAAAAACACUGACAACUAAAAUAUUGUUAUUGUUAUGCUGAUUAAUAAUUGGGAGGGGGUAAAAAAAAUGAACCCCAAAAGUUUAUUCGAGCAACCAUUAAAAGGGGUUGCCCCAGUUUUAAUUUGAAGAAUCCUUUCUUUCUUUUUAGAGUGUAGGAGAACCAUUAUUUGUUCCAGGUAGAACCCUUUUGCCAUCUAUGUAGAACCAUUUUCACAGAGGACUCUACAUGGAACCCUAUGGGAAAAUAGAUGUAAGAUGUGAUUGGAUUAGGAUGGAUUGCGUCAUUAUGGAAAAAUGUAUUUAGAGUGAUACUUUAUGACCAUGAAUUCUUAAUCAGUUUGCAUACCUAUGGGAACAAUUCUAUACAACUAUCUGCAGCAAAAUCUAAGCCCUCCAGACUUGGUGGAUAAUAAUACAGUGUAUCCUAAUGCGAACGAGUAUUGGACUGUGUUGUAGAUUAGAAUGAUGAAUGGUUAUUUGAAAUGAUACACUCCGCCUUAAUGCAGGAUAAUGCUAUAUAUUCCUGUGACUAUUCUUGCACUUCUUCUUGGACUAGGUUUAUCCCCAGAACUGUGUCAUUCAAUUGCUUAUUAAAUGAAGGAAAAUCUUCCCUAA